UUAUUCUAUUUCUCUUUUAUUUGCUAUAACUUUCAGGGCUUAGAAGUAAUCUGGGUUAUAUUACUCUUUUAUAUCCUUACUAAACGUAAAACAAAGCAAAAGUGGAAUCAUUGGAUGUUCUUAUAGAGUCCAUGAAAUACAUAUUCGGCCUACUCUAGCAGACAUGGGCCAAUCUUUAAAAACCCACUACUCCAAAAAUAAUCAACUUUAUCUCCUUGGAGAAUGCCUUUAAACAGCAAUAUACGGACAAAAGUUUAACAACUGACUUUCAAAAUAAAAAUUUAU
rnacentral:lncRNA from 1 species